GACGAACGCUGGCGGCGUGCUUAACACAUGCAAGUCGAACGGAAAGGCCCUGCUUUUGUGGGGUGCUCGAGUGGCGAACGGGUGAGUAACACGUGAGUAACCUGCCCUUGACUUUGGGAUAACUUCAGGAAACUGGGGCUAAUACCGGAUAGGAGCUCCUGCUGCAUGGUGGGGGUUGGAAAUUUUCGGCGGUUGGGGAUGGACUCGCGGCUUAUCAGCUUGUUGGUGGGGUAGUGGCUUACCAAGGCUUUGACGGGUAGCCGGCCUGAGAGGGUGACCGGCCACAUUGGGACUGAGAUACGGCCCAGACUACUACGGGAGGCAGCAGUGGGGAAUAUUGCACAAUGGGCGGAAGCCUGAUGCAGAAACGCCGCGUGCGGGAUGACGGCCUUCGGGUUGUAAACCGCUUUCGCCUGUGACGAAGCGUGAGUGACGGUAAUGGGUAAAGAAGCACCGGCUAACUACGUG
rnacentral:rRNA from 1 species